rnacentral:rRNA from 1 species
GGGUUGUGAGGUUAAGCGACUAAGCGUACACGGUGGAUGCCCUGGCAGUCAGAGGCGAUGAAGGACGUGCUAAUCUGCGAUAAGCGUCGGUGAGGUGAUAUGAACCGUUAUAACCGGCGAUUUCCGAAUGGGGAAACCCAGUGUGUUUCGACACACUAUCAUUAACUGAAUCCAUAGGUUAAUGAGGCGAACCGGGGGAACUGAAACAUCUAAGUACCCCGAGGAAAAGAAAUCAACCGAGAUUCCCCCAGUAGCGGCGAGCGAACGGGGAGGAGCCCAGAGCCUGAAUCAGUGUGUGUGUGUUAGUGGAAGCGUCUGGAAAGGCGCGCGAUACAGGGUGACAGCCCCGUACACAAAAAUGCACAUAUUGUGAGCUCGAUGAGUAGGGCGGGACACGUGGUAUCCUGUCUGAAUAUGGGGGGACCAUCCUCCAAGGCUAAAUACUCCUGACUGACCGAUAGUGAACCAGUACCGUGAGGGAAAGGCGAAAAGAACCCCGGCGAGGGGAGUGAAAAAGAACCUGAAACCGUGUACGUACAAGCAGUGGGAGCCUCUUAAUGGGGUGACUGCGUACCUUUUGUAUAAUGGGUCAGCGACUUAUAUUCUGUAGCAAGGUUAACCGAAUAGGGGAGCCGAAGGGAAACCGAGUCUUAACUGGGCGUUAAGUUGCAGGGUAUAGACCCGAAACCCGGUGAUCUAGCCAUGGGCAGGUUGAAGGUUGGGUAACACUAACUGGAGGACCGAACCGACUAAUGUUGAAAAAUUAGCGGAUGACUUGUGGCUGGGGGUGAAAGGCCAAUCAAACCGGGAGAUAGCUGGUUCUCCCCGAAAGCUAUUUAGGUAGCGCCUCGUGAAUUCAUCUCCGGGGGUAGAGCACUGUUUCGGCAAGGGGGUCAUCCCGACUUACCAACCCGAUGCAAACUGCGAAUACCGGAGAAUGUUAUCACGGGAGACACACGGCGGGUGCUAACGUCCGUCGUGAAGAGGGAAACAACCCAGACCGCCAGCUAAGGUCCCAAAGUCAUGGUUAAGUGGGAAACGAUGUGGGAAGGCCCAGACAGCCAGGAUGUUGGCUUAGAAGCAGCCAUCAUUUAAAGAAAGCGUAAUAGCUCACUGGUCGAGUCGGCCUGCGCGGAAGAUGUAACGGGGCUAAACCAUGCACCGAAGCUGCGGCAGCGACACUAUGUGUUGUUGGGUAGGGGAGCGUUCUGUAAGCCUGUGAAGGUGUACUGUGAGGUAUGCUGGAGGUAUCAGAAGUGCGAAUGCUGACAUAAGUAACGAUAAAGCGGGUGAAAAGCCCGCUCGCCGGAAGACCAAGGGUUCCUGUCCAACGUUAAUCGGGGCAGGGUGAGUCGACCCCUAAGGCGAGGCCGAAAGGCGUAGUCGAUGGGAAACAGGUUAAUAUUCCUGUACUUGGUGUUACUGCGAAGGGGGGACGGAGAAGGCUAUGUUGGCCGGGCGACGGUUGUCCCGGUUUAAGCGUGUAGGCUGGUUUUCCAGGCAAAUCCGGAAAAUCAAGGCUGAGGCGUGAUGACGAGGCACUACGGUGCUGAAGCGACAAAUGCCCUGCUUCCAGGAAAAGCCUCUAAGCAUCAGGUAACAUCAAAUCGUACCCCAAACCGACACAGGUGGUCAGGUAGAGAAUACCAAGGCGCUUGAGAGAACUCGGGUGAAGGAACUAGGCAAAAUGGUGCCGUAACUUCGGGAGAAGGCACGCUGAUAUGUAGGUGAAGCGACUUGCUCGUGGAGCUGAAAUCAGUCGAAGAUACCAGCUGGCUGCAACUGUUUAUUAAAAACACAGCACUGUGCAAACACGAAAGUGGACGUAUACGGUGUGACGCCUGCCCGGUGCCGGAAGGUUAAUUGAUGGGGUUAGCGGUAACGCGAAGCUCUUGAUCGAAGCCCCGGUAAACGGCGGCCGUAACUAUAACGGUCCUAAGGUAGCGAAAUUCCUUGUCGGGUAAGUUCCGACCUGCACGAAUGGCGUAAUGAUGGCCAGGCUGUCUCCACCCGAGACUCAGUGAAAUUGAACUCGCUGUGAAGAUGCAGUGUACCCGCGGCAAGACGGAAAGACCCCGUGAACCUUUACUAUAGCUUGACACUGAACAUUGAGCCUUGAUGUGUAGGAUAGGUGGGAGGCUUUGAAGUGUGGACGCCAGUCUGCAUGGAGCCGACCUUGAAAUACCACCCUUUAAUGUUUGAUGUUCUAACGUGGGCCCCUUACCGGGGUUGCGGACAGUGUCUGGUGGGUAGUUUGACUGGGGCGGUCUCCUCCUAAAGAGUAACGGAGGAGCACGAAGGUUGGCUAAUCCUGGUCGGACAUCAGGAGGUUAGUGCAAUGGCAUAAGCCAGCUUGACUGCGAGCGUGACGGCGCGAGCAGGUGCGAAAGCAGGUCAUAGUGAUCCGGUGGUUCUGAAUGGAAGGGCCAUCGCUCAACGGAUAAAAGGUACUCCGGGGAUAACAGGCUGAUACCGCCCAAGAGUUCAUAUCGACGGCGGUGUUUGGCACCUCGAUGUCGGCUCAUCACAUCCUGGGGCUGAAGUAGGUCCCAAGGGUAUGGCUGUUCGCCAUUUAAAGUGGUACGCGAGCUGGGUUUAGAACGUCGUGAGACAGUUCGGUCCCUAUCUGCCGUGGGCGCUGGAGAACUGAGGGGGGCUGCUCCUAGUACGAGAGGACCGGAGUGGACGCAUCACUGGUGUUCGGGUUGUCAUGCCAAUGGCACUGCCCGGUAGCUAAAUGCGGAAGAGAUAAGUGCUGAAAGCAUCUAAGCACGAAACUUGCCCCGAGAUGAGUUCUCCCUGACUCCUUGAGAGUCCUGAAGGAACGUUGAAGACGACGACGUUGAUAGGCCGGGUGUGUAAGCGCAGCGAUGCGUUGAGCUAACCGGUACUAAUGAACCGUGAGGCUUAACCUUACAACGCCGAAG